GAUGAACGCUGACAGAAUGCUUAACACAUGCAAGUCUUUGGCGAAGCUGUGCUCGCACGGCCUAGCCAAGGCGGACGGGUGAGUAACGCGUAAGGAACUUGCCCUGCAGUCAGGGAUAACAGACGGAAACGACUGAUAAGACCUGGUAAAGUCAGGCGGACUCAUGUCCAGCCUGAUGAAAAGAGAUGCUGCAGGAGAGCCUUGCGUCCUAUUAGCUUGUUGGUGGGGUAACGGCCCACCAAGGCGAUGAUAGGUAGCCGGCCUGAGAGGAUGGACGGCCACAAGGGGACUGAGAUACGGCCCUUACUCCUACGGGAGGCAGCAGUGGGGAAUAUUGGACAAUGGGGGCAACCCUGAUCCAGCAAUUCUGUGUGCACGAUGAAGGUUUUCGGAUUGUAAAGUGCUUUCAGCAGGGAAGAAAAAAAUGACGGUACCUGCAGAAGAAGCGACGGCUAAAUACGUG
rnacentral:rRNA from 1 species